rnacentral:lncRNA from 1 species
CGACCGAUGAGGUGGUCUCGUUCCUUGCCCGGAUCGACUGUGAGAUUGUUCCGUCCACCGCGCCGUGUGGAUGGUCCUGCAGUCCACAGCGAUGCGCGCGGCCGUAGCGUAGGCGCCGUGGCCAACCUCCAUCGACCGCUGCAGCUGGCAGGAAUGGAGUUGCUGUUCCAUCUACUAUAAGAGCAUCAUCAACGGGGUCCUUCAAAUUUUGUUAGUACUAAUCUUGUCAUAAUUAAGUUGUGGUAUUUAGAAAAAUCUAAUUGGUUGUUAGUACAUGGAGUUAGAAGUAUCCAGGGUAUGUAGGAGUCUUACUAGAGGUAAGAGUAGAAGUGUUUAAGUCAGUUUUGAAUAGGUCAAGGAGCAGGUUGUAAUAGUUUCUAGAAGAACAAUACCCGAUCUAAAAAGCCUAUAUAAAGAUGUAAUCCCUCUUGUAGGAAAACGAAGCUUCUGCUGCAUUGAGAAGAAUAUAUGUAGCUUCACAUCUUGUGUGUUUGUGUGUGAGACACUAACGUAUCAAAGAGAAAGAGAGGAAGGUGAGUGUAAAGCUCAUCUAUUAGAAGUUGAGAGCCCCCU